rnacentral:rRNA from 1 species
UCGACCGGCGUACGGGUGCGUAACGCGUAUACAAUCUGCCUUUCACAUAGGGAUAGCCCGAAGAAAUUUGGAUUAAUACCUAAUGGUAUAUAGGGGUGGCAUCACCUUUAUAUUAAAGCUGAGGCGGUGAAAGAUGAGUAUGCGUUCUAUUAGCUAGUUGGAGAGGUAACGGCUCCCCAAGGCGACGAUAGAUAGGGGUUCUGAGAGGGAUAUCCCCCACACUGGUACUGAGAUACGGACCAGACUCCUACGGGAGGCAGCAGUGAGGAAUAUUGGACAAUGGUCGGAAGACUGAUCCAGCCAUGCCGCGUGCAGGAAGACGGCCUUAUGGGUUGUAAACUGCUUUUGCAGGGGAAGAAUAAGGACUACGCGUAGUUUGAUGACGGUACUCUGCGAAUAAGCAUCGGCUAACUCCGUGCCAGCAGCCGCGGUAAUACGGAGGAUGCGAGCGUUAUCCGGAAUCAUUGGGUUUAAAGGGUCCGUAGGCGGGCUAAUAAGUCAGAGGUGAAAGCGCUCAGCUCAACUGAGCAACUGCCUUUGAAACUGUUAGUCUUGAAUGGUUGUGAAGUAGUUGGAAUGUGUAGUGUAGCGGUGAAAUGCUUAGAUAUUACACAGAACACCGAUAGCGAAGGCAUAUUACUAACAAUUAAUUGACGCUGAUGGACGAAAGCGUGGGGAGCGAACAGGAUUAGAUANCCUGGUAGUCCACGCUGUAAACGAUGGAUACUAGCUGUUUGGAUGAAAGUUUGAG